rnacentral:rRNA from 1 species
UACGGAGGAUGCGAGCGUUAUCCGGAUUUAUUGGGUUUAAAGGGUGCGUAGGCGGUCCGUUAAGUCAGCGGUAAAAUUGCGGGGCUCAACCCUGUCGAGCCGUCGGAACUGGCGUUCUUGAGUGGAAGAGAAGUAUGCGGAAUGCGUGGUGUAGCGGUGAAAUGCAUAGAUAUCACGCAGAACCCCGAUUGCGAAGGCAGCAUGCCGGCUUCCGACUGACGCUGAAGCACGAAAGCGUGGGGAUCGAACAGG